rnacentral:rRNA from 1 species
CAGUAGCCGCGGUAAUACAGAGGGUGCAAGCGUUAAUCGGAAUUACUGGGCGUAAAGCGCGCGUAGGUGGUUUGUUAAGUUGGAUGUGAAAUCCCCGGGCUCAACCUGGGAACUGCAUUCAAAACUGACUGACUAGAGUAUGGUAGAGGGUGGUGGAAUUUCCUGUGUAGCGGUGAAAUGCGUAGAUAUAGGAAGGAACACCAGUGGCGAAGGCGACCACCUGGACUAAUACUGACACUGAGGUGCGAAAGCGUGGGGAGCAAACAGGAUUAGAUACCCCUGUAGUCCCUGUCUCUUAUAA